GAGAGAGAGGUAGAUAGAUAGAAGGGGAGAAGAAGCGAAGAAGGGGUAGGAGGAAGAUAGGUAGAGAGGGGUGAAUGCUGGACGACGUAGUACUUACUACGAGAGGGAGAAUAGAAAGAAACAGAGAUAGAUAGAUAGAUAGAUAGAUAGUCAACGGCAGUUUCCAUAGAAAAUAACGCUCGACGCGUCGUUUCGCGAGGAAAAUUCGCAAUAACGGAAUUAGUCCUGCGAGUUCAGGAAAUUAGCUUCGUUCUCGUCUAUCCAACACUCUCCCAGUGAAAGUUUUAAUUGUAUUCGAUAACGACCAUCUUAAUACUUCGAACCGAGUAAUAAUCGGGUCACGAGUGGAAUCAUGAGAUCGUGAAAGUAGGGCGAAUAUAAAUCUCGUUGUAUAGUUUCGACGAGGAUUAAAAAAGAUGGAAAUAAGAAACGAAAGAAAGGGAACGAAACUUCAGCAAAUAAUCGAACGUUAAGUACUUACUCACUUACACGAGAUAUAUAUGUAUGUAUGUAUGUUUGUAUGACGUAUGUUGUUCUUCGGAAUAAAUUUGAGAAAGGAAUGUUUU